AAUUGAAUAGCUUAAACAAAGCAAAGUAUUGAAGAUACUGAGAUGAAUUUUUUUUCUUUAAUUA
rnacentral:tRNA from 1 species